UGUUUAACAUUCCAUCUAUUUGUACUAUUAAAAAUUGGUUGCAUAUGAUAUGUCACGUGUACCUCAUAUUUACAUAGAAGAAUUGGUUUUUAAUGGUAAAAAUAAAUAAAACAUUUAACA
rfam:Gossypium hirsutum cultivar TM-1 chromosome 23, whole genome shotgun sequence